UACGUAGGGGGCGAGCGUUAUUCGGAAUUACUGGGCGUAAAGCGUGCGCAGGCGGUUUUUUAAGCCAGAUGUGAAAGCCCCGGGCUCAACCUGGGAAUGGCAUUUGGGACUGCAAGGCUUGAGUGCGGCAGAGGAGACUGGAAUUCCUGGUGUAGCAGUGAAAUGCGUAGAUAUCAGGAGGAAUACCGAUGGCGAAGGCAGGUCUCUGGGCUGAAACUGACGCUCAUGCACGAAAGCGUGGGGAGCAAACAGG
rnacentral:rRNA from 1 species